UACGUAGGGGGCAAGCGUUGUCCGGAAUCAUUGGGCGUAAAGCGCGCGUAGGCGGCCCGGUAAGUCCGCUGUAAAAGUCAAAGGCUCAACCUUUGAAUGUCAGUGGAUACUGCCGGGCUAGAGUCCGGAAGAGGCGAGUGGAAUUCCUGGUGUAGCGGUGGAGUGCGCAGAUAUCAGGAGGAACACCAACGGCGAAGGCAGCUCGCUAGGACGGUACUGACGCUGAGGCGCGAAAGCGUGGGGAGCGAACAGG
rnacentral:misc_RNA from 1 species